CACGUCGACGGAUCGACACAGGCCGUCAAGGAUGACGGUCAGGGACAUCGCAGGACGACGAUUCAUCAGGAUGAUGAACACAGGGAGUGCGAAACAAGCGAGGAGGCAGGGGGUGACCCCGCGCCUCCUUU
rnacentral:sRNA from 1 species